UCCCGGGAGCGGAUUUGAAAUGGCGGCCGCUGUAAGGUUGUCUGUGCUGGCCGUGAGUCGUGUCCAAAGGCAUUUGUGCAUCUGGUCCUUCAGAGCCAGGUUUUCUGCACUGUUAACUGCAGGGGACCUCCCCAGGUGGUCAGAGUUGCCCAGGGUUUAGGGUGGACAUGAGAGUCUUGCUGGGGUCAGGAGGAAUGAGGGGCAGCUACAAGCCAGAUGUCCAUGAGUGGGAGAGAGGGCCAGCCUUCCUGUUCUAUUGUGUUUCCUAUCCUUCCCCCAAAGCCAAAGUCCAGGGCCGGUGGAUGGGAAAGCAUAGCAGGUCAGGCCCUUUCUCCCUCCCCCUCCUCUUCACACACCUACCUCCCCAUCCUUGUCCCUGUUAAAAGCACUGCAGGAAGAUAAGAUCACCCUCCAAAAUCUUGCUAUAAAAUGGUCUGUUUCCUCUGCUUGUUAUCAGGCGUGUCUGAUCAAAGAAAUGGUGCCGGGCCUGGUUAUCUAAUAACCAAAUAAACAUCAAGCUGCCCUCCUGGGCUGUUUGAAGUAGGGGCCAGGCCAGAGGAGGAUCCAACCUUCUCAGAUCCUGAAACUCCCUGGAGAGAAGUUGAAGGUCACAUGGCUGGUGUGCAGUGGAGCCUGGACAGGAACCUAGUCUGUGGUUGGAAGUCUGGCUCCUCAUUCUGAUCCUAACUGCCUGGAUCCUGAGUGCCUUGUCUGUCUCCCCUUGGGUGCCAUAUUGGGGAAAUCCCUUGGCCUCCUGGGGACUCUCUACAGUAGCUCCUAUAUCAGUCUUAGUCUCCUUGUUCCAAGGAGCUCUUGUGUGUAUGGGGAGAGAAUAGUAUCAGAGGGCUGAACCCAGAACCUGGCACAUAAAUGGACAUGUUAUGAAUGAGUGGAUGGAUUGUUGGGUGAUUGGAUGAAUGACUAGAUAAAUGGAUGGAUGGGUGCAUGGACAGAUGAGUAGGUGUGUGGGUAGAUGAAUGGAUGGAGGGUAAGUGGAUGAAUGGAUGGAAAGAUGGAUUAAUGUGUGGAUGGAUGGAUGGAGAAUGGGUAGAUGGAUGGAUAGAUGGGAAGAAGGGUAGGUAUAUAAAUGAAUGACGAAUGGGUGGAUGAAUGCAUAAAUGAAUGGAUAGAUGGAUGGGUAAAUGGAUGAUGGUUAGGUGGAUGGACAGAUGGGUAGAUGGAUGAAUGGGUAGAAGGAUGGAUAGAUACUGACUAGCGUUGUCACAAUUGUUCUGGGUGGUACCCAAGCUGAAUGGUUUGAUUUUAUCCUCACAUUCAUCAAUUUAUUAGUAAUAAUUCAUUAAUAAACUCAUUAACCCAUCACUGAAUUGCCAACCCCCAACCUGUAGAGACACAUCUUAGUUCCUGUUGUAAGGAUCUCUUUUCUACAAAGGUAGGCUUUGCAUCCCCAUAUCAGUAGGCAUAGGGCCAACUUGAUGUGUAGGUGCUUAAACCCUGCUCAGUGAAGAGCACACACUUGUCACCAGCCUUGCCUGCAUGAGAUUUCUGAUCCCCAGCCCAGCCUGGUCCGCUCACUGAUGCCAGGGCUUUGGUUGUUGGGUGAGUGGGUAAGCAGUGGGGUAAGGCACCCAUAACCUCAUCCACACAGUUCCCAACUUGUUCCCUCUGUCCACCGGGAGAGUGGGAUGUGGUGGAUCACCCAGUUCAUGGGGAUGAAAGUUUAGAGCUAUUUAGGUAUAGCAGAGCUUGCAGAGAGUCUUUAGGAGAAUGGCGUGACUCUGGCUAUUUUACUCUAGAACCAAAAAUUCAGUAAGAGAAAGGCUUCCUUGGUGUUGGGGUGGAGUGGCAGCCCUGUCUGGGGUCAGGAAGGCUGGGGUAUCUAAUAGAGUUCCUGUCUUGGCACUGCUACUCAUAAGGUGCGUUCUUGGGCACUCUCUCUGGGCCUGGUAUCAUUUAUUUAAAAUGUAAGAAUCCUCUGAGGGUUGGGGGCGAAUCCAGCAAGAUGAUGUGAGGGAGGACGUCAGAGUAGCUUUUUGGUGAGAUGGUGGUCAUUACCAUCAUUUCACUGUGCUUGCGGCUGAGUGACUCCAUGUGUGCAAGAUCCCCUGCUCAGCUCAGCACUGCGGGGUGUGGGGCUGGGGCAAGGGUUCUGGAGAUCAUCAGGUCAGUUCCAGAUGGUUCCACAGGGUCACCCCAGGUCAGGAGGACAGGGAAGAGAGGCAGAGAGGGCUGUCCCCUGAGCACCUCCCAUGCAGGAUGUGUCUUAGAGUCAUCACAGUGCUCUACCCCCAAUUGUCAGUCAGACAUGAGGACUGCAGAGAGGUCCUCAGUUGUUGGAGCAACACUGUGGAGAGAUCUACAAAGCACAGCACCUCAGGAAAGAAGCACCGAGUGGAAAGGGUCAUUCAUGUGAACAGGAAGCACAAACUGCACAUAAACACCACGUGCUUCCUGUGUUUGUGUGAAUACAUCAGACAAAUUCAAGUGGAUGGCUUUUGGAAGCAAGAGAAAGGAAGUGGACAAGGAGAUGGGAAGACCAGAAGAAAAAUUUAUAAGACAAAUGGGAGUUCUAACAUAGGCAAAAACUCAGGAAGAUCAAUGUCACAUUCUGCAUCUUCAAAAGUAGGAGAAGCAAACAGAGAAGGGAAAUCUCUGACUCCUUCCUGACCUGGGAAACAGUUUACAAUUAACAUUCCUGGUUUAGUCUCCACCCCCUCUUGAAAUGGAAUUUUUAUCUCUUGAUUCCUGCUACAAGAUGCGAUGCCUGUUUAUCCAGUUGCAUGAAUAAUUGGUCAGCUCUUUCCAACUUGCCAGAAGCAACCCCUGGCCGUUUCUGGAGCACUGGGAGAGACCUUCGCACAGUUUCUGCUUGGAGUCCACCGCUCUUCAUCUCAGGUCUAGACAGCUACCUGUUCUAUUUGGCUUAGCCUGUGCUGCAGAAAGUCCCAGUUCUUCCAAAUCAAGCUCCAGGAAAUUGAGAAGCAUGUUAUUAGUUUUAGCAAACAAUUUAAACAAAACUAAGACCAGAUCUCCCAGCAAUGGUGAAGGAUCUCAAGGGAGACCUUGGUCACAGUGGGCCUGGCUUCCCUACAGGCACUGCCUGCCAUAGAGGACAAGCCAUCGAAAAGUGAGGGUUUGAAGCACAGUAGGUCUCUGCAAAUAUUUAUUAAAUGAAUGCACAUGUAUUCAAACCCAGGAGAUGGAGGAGAAAGAUCAGAGGGAGGAUUUGAUAAACAGAAGGCUUCCAAGAAACAGCUUCCAACUCAAAUCAGUCCUUAAAAAUUUUUUAUUUUAUUGUACUAAGAACACUUAACAUGAGAUCUACCCUCUUAACAAAUUUUAAAGUGAAUUUCAAAUUAUUAAAUCGAAAGAUGAUUAAAAAAACAGUUGAAAAGGCACUCAAUAUUCACUCGCUACCUUGGAAACGUGUUAAUUAUCAUUAUCAUAUCAUGUGACUGCUUCGGAUUAAGCGUCUGAGCUGGGCUAAGCACGGAGCUGAGAGCUUUGCACCUAUUCGCUUGUCUGGGCCUCCCGGGAGCCUGGCGUGCAGGUUCUGCCCCCUCCCUCGUCAGAGUGGAGACAAUGGAGGCUGCAGAAGCCUUUCUCCCACUACCACCCUGCCAGGUGCUGCCUCGGCUGAGCAAUGGGACUCACACUGGGGGACUUUGUGUCCCUGCCACGCUUGCUAUCACUUGGCUUCUAAAAGCCUGGAUGACGCAGAGGCCUGUUGAGGAUACAUUCUGAAAAGGGCACCGUCUUUGUUUUCGCCCUAGUGCAGAGCGUUUUCCACCCACUGAUCUACUCCACUCGGUCUCCAGGAUGAUCCGUCAGAUACGUUAGCCAAAGGGAGGCUGCUGUGUGGGCUGUAAUCGGCCACAAUGAAGCAGUGACUUUACCUCUAGAGAGAAGCUAAUGGGCCCGGUGUGGGGGGGCACAAGCCCCUGACCUUGGUUGGAUAAGCCCCAAGCGCUAAUCAACAUUGCUGAAGAUGUCUGUGCGAGCUAACAAAGCAUAAAUAUUUGGUCUCUGUUGAAGGUCUCCAGGGCCAUGGCAAGCAGCAGCCUUCUAUAAGCACAGUCCACCUGCCUGCUAGGAAAGUGAAAACACACAGAAAAACAGUCUUUUGAAUCCAUUAUUCCCCAUAGAAACAGCCACUAUGUCCUGAUCAUUAUGUCUAAAAAAGCAGUAGAUAUGAAAAUUGGAUUUGGUUGGAGCUGGAUUUUAGCUGCAAAUGGGUGGUUUUUAAUAAAGUGCCUCAUAGCAACCGAUCUGUGAAAAGCUGCUACUUAAAAGCAAGUUCAUGUGAUCUCAGAAAAUGGCUCAUUUCAGGGCAGUCUGAAACUGUUUAUUUAUAGUCGUCUGGGCCAGAUCAGAUAAGCUAGGGCUUGGGGAGGUGUGUGGGGCUUCUCGAAAGUACCAUCCAAAGGAAACUCACAGGCUGACUGUCAGUGUGGUCAGGAGGUUGAAUUAGUGACUCACAUUUGCCGAGCUUUUAGAGGUCCAGUCGGUGUGGGUCUCAUUCCCAGCAGCUCCUGUGAGGCUCAAAUCAUGACCCCCCAUUUAUUAGAUGAGGAAACUGAGGCUCAAAGAAGGAACAAAGCCCUCCAGGGCCUCCAUAGAACCCUUAGUUCUUUUCCGAAGGCCUUAGGUUUCAAGAAACGCUA